rnacentral:hammerhead_ribozyme from 1 species
AUUAAACUGACGAGUCCCAAAUAGGACGAAAUGCACAACCUAGAU